AUUGAUUACAUUGUGAUGGAUAUUGUGUCACGAAAAAAAGUGAGCUAACCGCAUAUUUAUCUAGUAAUAGUAGACGUGGUAUAGUAUAUGAAAUAUCCGGUUAGGGGUGAUAGGCUUUUCAAACUUUUUGAUAACUUGUUGCAUGCGAAAUGUAUUAAGUACAAAGACAUAUUUAAAAAGUUAAGCUUUUAAAUAUAUAUUAAAAAUAUUAUUAAUUAUUAACACAGAAUAAUUCCUAGUUGCUAAUAUAGUACUAUAUUAAGCUUGUAUAUAUUGUAUAGAUUAGCGUGCCAGUUGCGCUUGCGCAGAACUUGAUAAUGUUAAUAUUAGUAGUAUUUUAAAGUGUAUUAGAGGAACUCGGCAAAUUUAUCGCUCAACUGUUUAUCAAAAACAUAGCUACAUGAUUUAAUAUGUAGUUAUUUCUGCUCCAUGAAUAAUAAAUAGCCGCAGUACUCUGACUGUGCAAAGGUAGCAUAAUCAGUUGGCUUUUAAUUAGAGUCUGGAAUGAACGAAAUCAUGGGUGAUAACUAUCUUUAGUAUAUUUUAUUGAACUUAAUAAGUAAGUGAAAAUGCUUACAUUAUAACAAAAGACGAGAAGACCCUAGAAACUUAAAUUGUUUUUUGUUGGGGCGACAGAAUUACAUUUAACUAGUUUUAUAGGACGAGCCGUGUGAAUGAAAGAAUAAGUUACUCUAGGGAUAACAGCAUAAUUUUUUUAGUUUGUGACCUCGAUGUUGGACUAGGUAUUAUAUCCUUAAGGCAAGGAUAUAAAAUGCUCUGUUCGAGCAAGUUAACCUACAU
rnacentral:rRNA from 1 species